rnacentral:lncRNA from 1 species
GCAAAUUAUAAAUAUGUGUGUGUUACAGCUGCCAAGUACAAUGCUUCUCUCUGGGAUUGGGAGAAGGUUAAAAACCAUUUGUUAGGUAUUUGGCAGAAUAGUAAUAAUAGCUUGGAUAUUCUGGAACUUCAUCACCAUAUCCAAGACAUUCAAAAUAACAGAGCUGAUUUUUCAGAUCCUUCUUCCUUGGCUAAACAAAUAUUGAAGGAGUUGAAUGGAUUCAACCCUGGAAAUAUUCUUAAACACUCAGCCUGGUACAUUAUUGGAUUAUUCUCUUUGCUGUUAAUUCUCUUUUGUUUUGUAAUUAUAGGAUGUCGAGUCUUUGGAACAAGAAUACAGAAACUCCAAAGAGUGAAACACCGCCUCAUUUUUAAGAAAAGAAAGGGGGAAUAUGUGGGAAGCCAUUCUCACAUGUGACUGGGCAACUCCCGGUUUGGGUCUGAGGCGCUCUGGCUAACUGUGUUGGAGCUUUCCCGGCCCUCUCCUGAUGAGAGAGCCUGUCCAUAGGGGGUUGUGACUGACCACUGACCCCGGGGGCCAAUCACUGACCCUGACCUUGGAGUGUGGCCCCCCUCAACCUUCAUUGGACGGAAUUCUCCCCUGAAUUUCUUGUUCCCCAAUAAAAGGCUACUCCCUGGCGUGCUCCCUCUCUCUCUCUCCUGCUAGUCCUGAGUAAUCCUUGCUGCCCUACCGGGUGGUUAGAGGUGAGAGCCAGAGGGGGAGCCGUCUCAGACCUGGUCAUAGAAAAAGGUAACUGAGUCUGUGUGUUUUAUUUCGAUCUCGCUAGCUAACUUUUAUGCCAAGAACCUCAUUAAUGAAACCAGUGUGCUGGUCGCAUGGUGGAGAAGGACACCGCCACUUCUUUGGAUACUCAGCUCUG